UACGUAGGGUGCAAGCGUUAAUCGGAAUUACUGGGCGUAAAGCGUGCGCAGGCGGUUUGUAAGUUUGUCGUGAAAGCCCCGGGCUCAACCUGGGAACUGCGCUUGAUACGGCAGAGCUAGAGGAUGGAAGAGGCUCGCGGAAUUCCCAGUGUAGAGGUGAAAAUUCGUAGAUAUUGGGAAGAACACCGGUGGCGAAGGCGGCGAGCUGGACCGGAACUGACGCUGAGGCGCGAAAGCGUGGGGAGCGAACAGGAUAGA
rnacentral:rRNA from 1 species